rnacentral:rRNA from 1 species
GACGUAGGGCGCGAGCGUUGUCCGGAUUUAUUGGGCGUAAAGAACUCGUAGGCGGCUUGUCGCGUCGUCCGUGAAAACUUGGGGCUCAACCCCAAGCUUGCGGUCGAUACGGGCAGGCUAGAGUUCGGUAGGGGAGACUGGAAUUCCUGGUGUAGCGGUGAAAUGCGCAGAUAUCAGGAGGAACACCGGUGGCGAAGGCGGGUCUCUGGGCCGAUACUGACGCUGAGGAGCGAAAGCGUGGGGAGCGAACAGG